GUUGAUGUUCUCGUUGUUGUUGUUUUUAAUGUGAGAUAUUUUUAUCUGUUAUUUUUCUUUUUCCAAUAGAAAACUCAUAUCUUUUCCUUCAUAUGCAUGACAUUUGAAAAGGUUUGCCAUACAUAUAGUUGUUAUUGGACAUUGAUACUGUAUAUAGGGGUUUUAUUGUUACGCAAUAUACAGCAAUCUUUUUUAGGAAAAACAAUCAUUUUUAAAGGAAACUAAACCGUGUUUAUUGCCUAGUUUGAGUAAAAACACAACCCGAAGUUCAAACGCGAUGCUGGACAACCUCAAGUGCCUGAAAGUGGGCGGAGGGUUUUCCAGAUCAGGAACGCUGACCACAAAGUAACUGUUUUGUAGCUAAUCCCAGUAAGGAACCUGCUCAGUGUCAACACCGUGGAAUGUCAUUACCGCCCCAGUGCAGGUUUCAUGCCCGUCAUACAGUGCAGACACUGUCAACAGAGGGACAGUUUCUUUUUGCACUCUCGAGGAGAACCUCUAGAACAAUCUCCUCUCCCUGCACUGUCCAUCGCGUCGGGCCUGACUUCAACCUAACUCGAGCAACAAGACGCAGGUCUUUUUUUUCCCUGUAUUCCUAAUCCAGUACAGUUUACGGCAGAAAUAGAUUUACUCUCCUUUUUAAAUAGGAACAAUUCAAAGGCUCGUAGUUGCAACAACCACAAAAACAAGAACAAUGAGGCAUUUUUUAUGAUAUCUUUAAUUCGUUUAGAAAUGCUCAUUCAGAGAUAUGCAUGUCAAAAACAAGUAUAGGUAUCAACCAAGACCAUAUGUACCAGCAUUAUGUGAUGUUAUGCUGAAAGAUUCAUUUUGGUUUGUAGAUAAAGACCACCUACCAAUUUUAUGUGGUUUGUUCUGUCUAUCCAAAGGUGGACAUCUCUGAGCAGUAAAGAGGGCAAUAUGUUAAAGCCCCACGUCUUAACCAACAUUAGAAAGGGCAGUUCUCCAGAGACUGACACUGAGUCCAUGACUUUUGCAGACCUAAAAUUAGUACAUUUUAUAGCUGUUUUUACACUCAAAUGAAUUGAUAUUUGUAGUUUCCUUUAUUCAUGGUUUUUCUACAAAAAAGGGAGAAAAUGACAACAUUGGCUAUUUGCUCCCAAUUAAAAGAAAAAAACGAAUGAUUUAUUAUUUUCUAAACAAGGACCAUUUUGCUAAAUGGAUGACAAUAAAUCAGCAAUAAAAAUACAUGUUAAUAGACACAACUAGCCAGUGUGAAGAUUUAAAAGUAAGAAUUUACAAAUGUAAAUAAUUUUUCAUUCACAAUAUUGUAUUAUAUAUGUACAUGGUGUUUUCUUUUUCAAAAAGAAAUCUUUUCUUACACAAUAGUUGUCUUGUUAUUUUGAGUUUUGUGUUUUAACCAAGAACAUGUUUAAAAAAAACUAUUAUUGCAGUGCGUUAGAGAAAAUUCCCUACAUCAACAUGCUGUUUAUCCCAUCAUUCUGAUCCUUUUUUUUUUACUGUAGAGUCUUUGUAUUGACUUUUUUUCACCAGUUCAUAUAUAUUUUUAACAACAUAUUCAAUAUCAAAUAGUGAACCUAUGGUAAAAAUAGGUUACACGAUCUACCGCCACCUCGCAGAUUAUUUUUCCUCAUCCUCAUGUAUCUUUUUAGCCCUGCGUUGCUGCUAAUACUAUAUAAACUCUCCAAUUCUAGAAAUAUUUUUUCAUGUAAGAGGUAAAUGUAUGCUUUCUUGUUUAUUAAUGAUGCAUAUAUAGUAUGAGAAAAAGCUUGGCUUAUUUAUCUACACCAUCCUUGCCCUUGUCUUUUUAGCGCCUUUCCCACCUUUUCCCCUACAUCAAAAACCCCUUUCUCUCUCACAACACGGACUAUAUUGUAAAGUAAAGGACUUUAUGAGAUUAUGUUUGAAAAUAGCUAUGCUUAUAUACCACAGUGACUGAAUGUACAGUGUAUAGAUACAUUACAAGAAAUAAAGUUGUUUGUCCAGAU
ensembl:lncRNA